AGAGAGAGAGACAGCCAGUGAGAGAGGGAACACAAGCAGGGGGAGUGGGAGAGGAAGAAGCAGGCUCCCAGCCGAGGAACCUGAUGUGGGGCUCCAUCCCAGAACGCCGGGAUCACGCCCUGAGCCGAAGGCAGAUGCUUAAUGACUGAGCCACCCAAGUGCCCCUGCAUUAUGUUUCAAACAGAAGAAAUAUUACCAACCACCACGGGAGAGAAAAUAACUACAGGGGGAAAGAUUGUGGCUUCUUACUCCACCUGUCAGGCCACCCAGGAUUUGAGGCUGGAAAUCACACACACAUCAUUCAGCAACACAAGGAUCAGUUUUCCCUCUGAGGGCUUCAGCUGGAGAAAUUUUCUGCUGGGAAGUUCAUCCUCAAGGAGAAAGCUGGGACCAGUGCUUUCAAAAGUCAGACAUGACAUAAGAUCCAAACGGCAGUCCUGGCACUUGACUACUAUAUGGAAACAACUUGUCAUGCCUGCAUUGUGGAAAUGGUGUUCAAAAUGA
rnacentral:lncRNA from 1 species